rnacentral:lncRNA from 1 species
UCGCCGCUGCAUUUACAGUCGUCCGCAUCCUUCUACCACCACCACUACCACUUACGGCCGUAAUAUAUCUUCUCUUCCUAAUCCUAAUCCCAGUCCCAAAAUCCUUUGUCCAAUCACUACCAGCACUGCUCAACACCUGCACAACAGGUUCAUUCCGGCCAAUUAUCUGAACUCUGCUAAUGAAAGUAGGGUGGCCCGGGGCCCUCUGAAGCGUAGUGCCAGAUUUGCAGCUGCUACAACUACCAACCAUCGUUACUUUUUCCGAUGAAGACAAAAGUUAAAGAAAGUGCGUCUUGCUGGCUAUGAACGUAUUAAUUGUUAAUGGAUUUAGCAGUGCACAUUAAAAAAUAUCUCGUAAAAAUCAUCGUACGAGAUUUUUUUUUAUAUGAAAUAAAUAGAAAACUAUCCUCUGUUUGGGAUUUCUUUUGCUAUAAUUAUAAGUUGGUAGGAAUAUGAGGAUAAAAUCAAUGUUUCACUUUGAAAAUAAAAAGUUUUGUAUUAUCUACUUUGCUACAGAACAAAAUAAUUAUAAUUCAAAAUUAUAUAGAGCCCUGUUUUUUGGCCUAGCCAAACAGGGCUUUCCCAUUAUAUAUGUAUUUUUUGACAACCACAUGGAGUUUAUGAUCUAACUGUAAACUACAGAAGAAUAAUCAACUUCUUAUGUGGUAAUAUGAAUGUCACGUUUACACGUUAUUCGUGGGUGUUGGAAUCACGUGCAAAAAGCAAACAUUCCAAAAAUUGGAUAGUCCAUGUUUGGUAUUAAAUUUUUAUCCCAAAAAAUUAAUGUUUUAAUCAUUAUUUCAUUAUUCAAGCCGUAUUUUUUUACUUCGUCUCUCACAUGUAAAAUUCACUUUUCUCUUCAAUAGUUAAAAAAUUAAUUCUCAAAAUCACUAUCGAACAAGAGUAUCCCAAAAGUACAAUGUACUUAGCGUGUAUUUGUGCCACAUAAUAAACUUGUCAAAUAAAUUGAGACUGAAAUUAUUGAAUUUCAUAUCCCGAAAGUAUUAUAAUUUUUCUCACUAUCAAAAAUAAACUAAUCGAGUAAAGAACUCAAAUCAACAACCUAAUAAGAGUACAAUUUUGAUCGAAGCCUUUAUCUCGAAAUCUUACCACCACCUUUAAAUAUAGAAGAUAAGAUAUGUUAAUAAUUACCACUUUAUUAAAAGUUUCAAUCUUCCAAAGAUUUCAAAAGUACUAAUUAAUUCUCUAUCACAUUUAAAAAAUUCUUAUAAACAAGAUAAAAUUGAUGAGAUUUCAAAUCUUCUUCUACUUUUUGGAAAAUAAAUUUUAUAAUGAAAUCACAUUCAACCAUGCAAGAAGUUUCUAAGAAAUUAGCUGAAAAAACUUCCUAAUCUCGAAAACAAUUUUUAACUUUUCAAAAAUAAUCUCGAUCUUCCUCGUCAAAAUGGGCAAAAAAUUGUGUAUGGUCAAGAAUCUCGUCAACUUUGUUUGAAUACAUUUUAAUAUUUUAAUUAAAGAGUGAUACAAUCAUUUUGGAUGACUACAUGACAAUAGUUAACAAAAUUGAGCCUUUUUUCUUUCUUUUUUUUUGUCUCCCAUUAUGAUAGAAAAUAUAGAGUUUUUAAUGAUAUUUUUUGAAGAAUGUGUGGUUAAAAUUUAAAGAAACUUCAUUGGUUUGUGUGCAAAAUAUUUUAUUGUAUAAAUGUGUGAUGAAGAUUAUUACUGUAACAAACAAUUUAAUUUGUUAAAAAAUGACAAACAGGAGCUUAGACAGCAAGCAUUCACUAUCUACCAUAGAUGAGUGGAUAGUAUUAAAAUUAAAUUUGUUAAAGUCUUGGUUCUCCAAUUUUAAUUUCAUUCAAUUGUUUUAUUUUUAAAUUUUAAGUUAAUAAAAAAUCAUGUAUAUGAGCUUCAAAUAAAAUGAGAUUUUUCUUGAGUAACAUUUCAAUUCAUUUUCUCAAAGAAGUGAUCUCAUGCCCACGCUCAUACACAUUAAACUGUAAAUAAAGUAUAAACGACAGUCCAUCUUAAAAAAAUAACAAUGAUACGAACACAAACUAUUCGAAAAUGGAAAAUAAAACGAGAAAAGUUGAAAGGUGGGAUAAUUCAAGUAAACUCGGACCUUCCGAAAUGAUUUGCAGAAAUUAAUUAGUUGACAACUUUUAUCCGUUGUUUACAUCUAAAUGAUUAAGUAAUCUAACCAUUAUCUUCUUAAAAAUUCGGGACCUUUCUUGCAUUCUUACACACCACUAUCCACACAUAACGUUCUAAAUUAAACUAAAUUUACUGGUCCAUAACAAACAAGUAAUUACGACACGAACCAGAAACGGAAGCGAAGCGGAGCGCCUCCUCGAUCAUGCGGAUUUGAGCGGAGCGGUGGUCGGAGAGGGAAACGGAAGAAUCCGGCUCGUAGAAUCCAUGGUGCAUAUGGUCUCCCCAUAUAUUUUCCCAUAUUCCCGACGAUUCAUCGUAAAACUCCGCUAUCCCCUUUUGCAAAGUCUCCGUCGCCGCUGCAUUUACAGUCGUCCGCAUCCUUCUACCACCACCACUACCACUUACGGCCGUAAUAUAUCUUCUCUUCCUAAUCCUAAUCCCAGUCCCAAAAUCCUUUGUCCAAUCACUACCAGCACUGCUCAACACCUGCACAACAGGUUCAUUCCGGCCAAUUAUCUGAACUCUGCUAAUGAAAGUAGGGUGGCCCGGGGCCCACUGAAGCGUAGUGCCAGAUUUGCAGCUGCUACAACUACCAACCAUCGUUACUUUUUCCGAUGAAGACAAAAGUUAAAG